ACAUAAGCAAAUAUUAAAACCUCAAUAAUUCAGGUUAAAUGGAGAACACUAGUAGAUUUAUAGUAUAUAGGCUGGAUUUCACUGAAUAGUUUAAUCAAAUUCUGACAAUGGCAAUCAUGCGUUGCUGAUAAAAAAUUGAAAAUACAAUCCACUACUUCCUGUAGGAGUAAAUUUAUAAAAUACAACUGAGGUUUAUACAGCCUACAGUACUAAAGUGUAAGAUUGAAGCGUGGAUCCAGAGAAUUGGUAGAGUGCUUCCUGGGACUGAAAAGCUUGCUGUUACACAGCAGAAUAAAAGAUCUUGAAGGCAUCUGAUCUUCUUCCUUUAUAUAUCCACUGACUGGUACAAAAUAAUGCUUAAUAGAUGUUUGCUGAAUGAAUAAUGGAGAUUGUAAAAACUGAGUAAAAUCUUAAGGCUCAUUAACAAGAAUAGAUGGUAGAAUGUCAAUAUAAGUGAUUUGGCCAGUCUUGGGAGGUAGAUGGAAGUGUGGCAGGCAAAAGACAGAAAGGAUCAAGCAUUAACUUUAUACUUUUAUACAGUACCAUCUUUAUAUACUACCUUCUUUAUACACUAAUAGUUUAAAAAUCUUAAUUUUUAAUCUAAAAAUUCUUAAAUUAGAAAAAUAAUGCACUGUCUGGGAAAAAUACAAAACAAACGGAACAGGAAGUAAAUAACAAAAACAAUUCUUUUUAAGGAUUUCUGCAAUGUACAGUGGACAUGAAGUGAAACAGAACCAUAUCACCAGAAUUUGUAUUGAUUUGUUCAUGUAUUUAGUUGUCAGCUGCAUAGAGGGAUGUCAUUAUGUGCAGAGCAAAAAAUUAACUUUCUGGCAAGUUUUGCUAAACAGUAUUCAUUUUACUGAAAGAGAAUAAGUGGUAGUCUCACUUUAUCUAAACAUUUAUCCACUACGAGUUUGGAAUGCUCAGAGAAAACUUGAAUAAUCCAAGUCCCUUGUAGGUUAAGCUUAUUUUAUAUCUUGUACACUUUACUGGUUACAUUAAAAGAGGAAGGCUCAUUUUUAAUGGUUUACCAAGAGUCUAUAAUGUUUGAGAUAUUGGUAGAAAAGCUAAGUGGUUAUGAACAUGAGUGAUGGAAGGAAGAAUUUAUGCAUUUGAUUUAGAAAAAUAAAUAUCAGGUAAACUAACUCCAUGAGAGUAAAGAAAGAAAUGCUGGAGGUUCUGUAAAGUGGAGAAGGAUGAUGCCCUCAGAUAUUGGUUGAGGAAAGAGAGACGAGACAGGAUUAAAAAGAGGUUAAUUCAAAACAAGAUAAUACUAAAUGUUUUUACAUUAAUUUCUAAAAGUAACACUGUAUCUCUUCCCUAAAAAUAUUAGAUUUCUGGCUUCUAAUUGAUUAAUGCACCAGAGAGAAAAAUGGUUUGGGUAAAACAUGCAAGAAAUUUGUAAAAUAACUAUGAAUGUAACGUUCAAAAAGGAACGGUUCCCUAAGUUCAUAUGCACAAAAAUGUUUAUUAUUUAUAACUAGUUAAAAAAUUAUAACAGCUCACAAACCCUUAUUUGAAACUUUUGGAGCCAAAUGUAUUUUAGAAUUCUGAAUGUACUGGAUUUUAGAAAGAGGGUAACUUGGAUGCAGUAUGUAAAGCCCUCCAGUGGGGUCUUACACUGCACUCUGACACGUUAAUAUUUCUCCAGCAAAGUUAUGAAUACUUACACUUAAUGGAAUAAAGACCAUAUACAACUUUCCAUUAGUUCUAGUCAGGUUUGGCUGCCAAAUAAGAUGUAGUGCCAAACUUACUGAAAACUUUGAGUUUUCAUAUCUUUCUGACUUUCAGAAAUAAGGGAUUGUGGACCUGUACCACAAUAUUGGAAGACAAAUUUAUUGUUAAACUUACGUUACAAAUUUUUACACUUAAAAUAAAAAAGACAGUACCAAGUGUGUAGAGAAUUUAAACACGUUUUAUUGUCAGAGGAUGUCAUUUGAGGAAUCUCCCCAUCUCAUUACAUAGCUCUCACAAAAUCUUUACAUAACUGGCCUCUUGGAGAGAAGUAAAAUUACUGGAGAAAACAUAUCACACUCCAAAUCUGCAUGUUCUUUUAAGUAUGAAUUAUCGUGUACACUUAACUAUAAAGUAAUUCGUGGAAGGGUUUUCUUCAUCACAUCUUACAUAAUUUCACCCACAAUAUAAAAAAGUUUAUACUAUUAAACCACUAGGAUCGGUAGAGCUGGCCAAGUAUAGAAACCACCUAAAUAUGCAUUAACUAGUUAGGGCCCCGGGUACCAGCUAUCGUAAAAGACAAAAAUCACGUUCUACCUAAGGCGGGAUCUCCGUAGCCAUCUAGGCUGUGGUCACUAGACCGAGGACAGCGUCCCAACUAGAGAAGAGGAAACUCGAACUCCCAGAAGCCCCCGCACGGAGGCGGGGCGGGGGUUUGCCAGGCCCUGGAACGCGGAGGCCUGAGCUCGCGGAGGAUGGCGGGAACUAGAAGAGCGGCCGUCCGCAGUCCUCCCUCAUACCCUUGCCCCCGCGACCCGGCCCCUUCUCAAGCCCUCUGCACGAAAGGAAAGAAACUCCGAUGGAAUAGACUUUUUAUUCCACAGAAGCGUUUUGUUUCUCAGCUGCUGAAAGGAGUUGUCCAUGAAGUCUCUGCAGCCAGAUUCUUUGGAGAUUUUUUGAAAGGAACAUAGUCAGGUUUCAAUUACCCAUGUUAAGUGUAGACAGCAUAGAUUAGUGAAAGCUGCCAGCAGUUUCCAGUCCUUUGUAAGUGGCCUGUACUUUAGAGCAGAGAUCCAUAACCCCUGAGCAGUGGUCGGGUACUGGUCUGUGGCCUGUUAGGAAACUGGCUGCAGAGCAGGAGGCGAGUGGUGGCGGAGCGAAGCUUCAUCUGUAUUUGCAGCCGCUGGCCCCCACUAGCAUCAUCACCUCAGCUCCACUCCAGAUCAUCAGGCAUUAGAUUCUCGCAGGAGCACUGGUUCCUUGGUGCCAAAAAGGUUGAGGACUGCUGCUUUAGAGGCUGUUAGCCAGUGUUUUCCUUACAAACGGAGAGACUGAUAAGAGUAUCUGAGCCUCGGUUUCUGCAUCUAUAAAAACGGGUAUUCUACUUUUCUGGGUAAUUAAUAAAAGAUAAGCAUUGUAAACUGCACA